rnacentral:misc_RNA from 1 species
AGCAGCCGCGGUAAUUCCAGCUCCAAUAGCGUAUAUUAAAGUUGUUGCGGUUAAAAGCUCGUAGUUGAAUUUCGGGAUUGGCGCAUCGGUCGUGCCUCACGGGGUAUGAACUGGUGCAGUCAAUUUCUCACCUUCUGGAGAACCGCGAUGUCCUUAAUUGGAUGCCGCGGGGAACCAGGACCUUUACUUUGAAAAAAUUAGAGUGUUUAAAGCAGACAUUUUUGCUUGAAUACAUUAGCAUGGAAUAAUAAAAUAGGACGGCAUGGUUCUAUUUUGUUGGUUUCUAGGACCACCGUAAUGAUUAAUAGGGAUAGUUGGGGGCAUUAGUAUUCAAUUGUCAGAGGUGAAAUUCUUGGAUUUAUUGAAGACUAACUACUGCGAAAGCAUUUGCCAAGGAUGUUUUCAUUAAUCAAGAACGAAAGUUAGGGGAUCGAAGACGAUCAGAUACCGUCGUAGUCUUAACCAUAAACUAUGCCGACUAGGAAUCAGACGAUGUUAAUUUUUUAAUGACUCGUUUGGU